GUAAAAAUAUGAUGGAGAGUUUGAUCCUGGCUCAGAACGAACGCUGGCGGCGCGUAUUAAGCAUGCAAGUCGAACGAGAACCUUUUCUUCGGAAGAGGGGAUAGUGGCGAACGGGUGAGUAACACGUAGGUGAUCUAUCCUUGAGUGGGGGAUAGUCCAUGGAAACAUGGGGUAAUACCGCAUGAGGUCUGCACCAUAAAUGGUGUUUGAUGGAAGGCGCUUUAUGCGCCGCUUGGGGAUGAGCCUGCGGUCCAUUAGCUAGUUGGCAGGGUAAUGGCCUACCAAGGCGACGAU
rnacentral:rRNA from 1 species